GGUUAAGUGAAUAAGGGCGCACGGUGGAUGCCUUGGCACUAGGAGCCGAUGAAGGACGGGACUAACACCGAUAUGCUUUGGGGAGCUGUACGUAAG
rnacentral:rRNA from 1 species